rnacentral:rRNA from 1 species
UACGUAGGGUGCAAGCGUUAAUCGGAAUUACUGGGCGUAAAGCGUGCGCAGGCGGCUUUGCAAGACAGAUGUGAAAUCCCCGGGCUUAACCCUGGGAACUGCAUUUGUGACUGCAUGGCUGGAGUGCGGCAGAGGGGGAUGGAAUUCCGCGUGUAGCAGUGAAAUGCGUAGAUAUGCGGAGGAACACCGAUGGCGAAGGCAAUCCCCUGGGCCUGCACUGACGCUCAUGCACGAAAGCGUGGGGAGCAAACGGG